rnacentral:tRNA from 1 species
GGAAUUGUAGCUCAGUGGUAGAGUACUUGCCUAGUGUCACAAGACCCUGGGUUUGAUUCCCAGAACCCCA